UUUGAUCCUGGCUCAGGAUGAACGCUAGCUACAGGCUUAACACAUGCAAGUCGAGGGGAAACGACAUUGAAAGCUUGCUUUUAAUGGGCGUCGACCGGCGCACGGGUGCGUAACGCGUAUCGAACCUGCCCUUUACUCAGGGAUAGCCUUGCGAAAGUAAGAUUAAUACCUGAUAGUGUUGCGAUGAGGCAUCUUGUUGCAACUAAAGAUUUAUUGGUAAAGGAUGGCGAUGCGUCUGAUUAGGUAGUAGGCGGGGUAAUGGCCCACCUAGCCGACGAUCAGUAGGGGUUCUGAGAGGAAGGUCCCCCACAUUGGAACUGAGACACGGUCCAAACUCCUACGGGAGGCAGCAGUGAGGAAUAUUGGUCAAUGGGCGAGAGCCUGAACCAGCCAAGUAGCGUGCAGGAAGACGGCCCUCUGGGUUGUAAACUGCUUUUAGUUGGGAACAAAAAAGGCGACGUGUCGCCUCUGAAGUGUACCAUCAGAAAAAGGACCGGCUAAUUCCGUGCCAGCAGCCGCGGUAAUACGGAAGGUCCAGGCGUUAUCCGGAUUUAUUGGGUUUAAAGGGAGCGUAGGCGGACGAUUAAGUCAGCUGUGAAAGUUUGCGGCUCAACCGUAAAAUUGCAGUUGAAACUGGUUGUCUUGAGUGCACGCAGGGAUGUUGGAAUUCAUGGUGUAGCGGUGAAAUGCUUAGAUAUCAUGAAGAACUCCGAUCGCNAANGGCAUAUGUCUGGAGUGCAACUGACGCUGAGGCUCGAAAGUGCGGGUAUCGAACAGGAUUAGAUACCCUGGUAGUCCGCACAGUAAACGAUGAAUACUCGCAGUGUGCGAUAUACUGUAUGCUGCCAAGUGAAAACGUUAAGUAUUCCACCUGGGGAGUACGCCGGCAACGGUGAAACUCAAAGGAAUUGACGGGGGCCCGC
rnacentral:rRNA from 1 species